UGAUUUCCGAGGAACGGAUGAGUAUGAGAAUACCGUUUAGUACAGAGAGCCGGGGUAGCUGUAAACCGGUCUAAGUGGAUUCUCAGAAUAUGGUCCGGGAGGAAUUGUUUUCGAGCUUGAAGAAUCCCUAUGGGUUACUUCGUGAGGGGACAACGUGUGCCAGCGUUAAUGGACAGUUUCGAGUCAUAUCGGGACUGAUGGAGCCUGCCACCUGCAAAGGUGUAGGGAAUUUGGGUGGUAACACGUGAGAUAACUCUCGUCCCAUAU
rnacentral:ncRNA from 1 species